UGCGCACGUACCAUGGUGCGCCUGACAUAAUCCGGAAAGCCCUGUUUUCUACUGCUUGGAGCCUCGUAGCGGAUGUCUGCCCAAGUGAGGGAGGCGUAGGAGAUCACUUUGUCGUGGAUCGUCUCCUUUAUGGGUCUAUUUAUUUGGUCAGAUUUAAUACCACAGAGGACGUUAGUGGUCGCUUCCUUUACCUACUUGAUCAAGGACAAUGUAGAGAGCAAACAGACGGUUUUAAUAGCAAAAAUAAACUGGAGAUGAUUCUGGAUGUCCAGCUGGACCAGAGCUGCUUGGUGCGGUACUGCAAUCAGACACUGGGAAUUUUGAUGAACUGCUUGGAUUAUCACAAUUUGGGAAACGAAAGCGAGCUGAUCCUGGAAUCCUUGCAAUCCUUCUCGAAACUCCUGAACAGUUUACCAGGGUACAAAUUCCAUCCCUUUUAAGUUACCGCAGCAGUGAGGAUCAAGUUGCUAUUCAGUCAAGAGGAUACACGUCUAAGGAGAUCUUCGAUCCAGUUAUUAGGAGAUCUGGCAACGUCCCUUGGUUAGGAGACCAAUUUAUAGGCAUUCAAGGAGCAGAUCCAAGGGAACCUCAUCACUUUACUGUUGCAUCUAUGCGAUCCAGACGUGUAUGUUGUCAAGGCCUGUAAAAGUACGAUCCAGAAGGUCUGCCCUUAUCUGGAUUGUUUGGAGGUAAACCGCAUGAUCUAGUAGUGUUUGGGCGACGACACCGACGAAAUCCGUGAAUAUCAAACGGAUUUUAUUAAGGAGUAAAUUAAACGCAUGGGAUUUAUGGAAUCAAUGAUAUCAAGGUUAUCUGGGGGUCAAAUCGAGGACGAACUGGUUUAAAGGUCGUGUCUAAGAGCCAAUGCCGCCCUUGUCACCGGUUGUUCUACGUCGAACCACUACCCGAGAAUAAAC